AGAUUGAAUUCGCUGAGUCCCGCUUCGCGGCGGGAACGGGGGAACCAAAGGGCUGCGGCGUCCAUCGCUUCGGCUCCAGGGGUGAAUCCCGGCCGGUAACGGCCGGGUAGGGCGACUCUCACGUCCGAAUCCGGCAGCUAACCUCGUAAGCGUCAUACUGGAGAGGC
rnacentral:sRNA from 2 species